UACGAAGGGGGCUAGCGUUGCUCGGAAUCACUGGGCGUAAAGCGCACGUAGGCGGCUUUUUAAGUCAGGGGUGAAAUCCUGGAGCUCAACUCCAGAGCUGCCUUUGAUACUGAGAAGCUUGAGUCCGGGAGAGGUGAGUGGAACUGCGAGUGUAGAGGUGAAAUUCGUAGAUAUCUGGAGGAACACCGGUGGCGAAGGCGGCAUCCUGGACCAACACUGACGCUGAGUGAGCGAAAGCCAGGGGAGCAAACGGG
rnacentral:rRNA from 1 species